rnacentral:rRNA from 1 species
AACGAACGCUGGCGGCAGGCCUAACACAUGCAAGUCGAGCGCCCUUUCGGGGGAGCGGCGGACGGGUGAGUAACGCGUGGGAAUAUGCCCUUCUCUACGGAAUAGCCUCGGGAAACUGAGAGUAAUACCGUAUACGCCCUGUGGGGGAAAGAUUUAUCGGGGAAGGAUUAGCCCGCGUUGGAUUAGGUAGUUGGUGGGGUAAUGGCCUACCAAGCCGACGAUCCAUAGCUGGUUUGAGAGGAUGAUCAGCCACACUGGGACUGAGACACGGCCCAGACUCCUACGGGAGGCAGGAGUGGGGAAUCUUAGACAAUGGGGGCAACCCUGAUCUAGCCAUGCCGCGUGAGUGAUGAAGGCCUUAGGGCUGUAAAGCUCUUUCAGCUGGGAAGAUAAUGACGGUACCAGCAGAAGAAGCCCCGGCUAACUCCGUG